CCUACGGGAGGCAGCAGUGAGGAAUAUUGGUCAAUGGACGCAAGUCUGAACCAGCCAUGCCGCGUGCAGGAAGACGGCUCUAUGAGUUGUAAACUUCUUUUGUCCGGGGGUAAACGCAGAUACGCGUAUCUGUCUGAAAGUAUCGUACGAAUAACGAUCGGCGAACUCCGUGCCAGCAGCCGAGGUAAUACGGAAGAUUCAAGUGUUAUCCGGAAUUAUUUGGUUUAAAGGGUGCGUAGGGGGUCGGAUAAGUUAGAGGUGAAAUCCCGAGGCUCAACUUCGGAAUUGCCUCUGAUACUGUUCGGCUAGAGAGUAGUUGCGGUAGGCGGAAUGUAUGGUGUAGCGGUGAAAUGCUUAGAGAUCAUACAGAACACCGAUUGCGAAGGCAGCUUACCAAGCUACUUCUGACGUUGAGGCACGAAAGCGUGGGGAGCAAACAGGAUUAGAUACCCCAGUAGUC
rnacentral:rRNA from 1 species